UGACACCUAGCAGUAUAUAGUGACAACUCAGUAGAACUAAAAUAAACCUUUAGGUGUAGUUAACUUAUGUUUAGUCCCUCUAUCGUGAGUCCCGACUAGAUGGCAGGUCAUAGAUAAAUCAUCAAACCUCAAUAUAAGUUAUAUGAUAGAUUCGAUUAGCUCAAGUCCAGUUGUGACUUCUAUAAAAACUCUUUUUCAUCAAUCAUACUACUGUGGCCAUAGACACAUGGACUUAGUCUCUCAAAUU
rnacentral:lncRNA from 1 species